GAAGGAGAAAUGUUCCUGUUUUCAUCUGAGGAAUGCUGGAGGUUUUCUGUUUUUUAAAAAAUUGUGAUUUUAUGUUGUGAACCACCCUGAGAUCUAUGCAGAUAGGGCGGUAUACAAAUUUAAUAAAUUUAAAAAAUAAUAAGUUGAAGACUGAUACAGUAGUACCUCUGGUUGCGAACAGGAUCUGUUCUGGAGGCCCGUUCGCAACAUGAAAAGAUUCGCCGCUUCUGCACAUGCAUGUGACGUCAUUUUGCGCAUCUGGGCAUACAUGAGUGAUGAAACCCGGAAGUAACCCGGGACGUAACCUGAAAGAAUGCAACAUGAAGCGGAUGUAACAUGAGGUAUGACUGUAUAUAUUCAUCCGGGCCUUUGGGAAUUACUUGCUCAGUGACCCAAAAGUUCUAUGAGUGGGGCUGUGGUGUUAAAAGAUUGUUUCUUGAUUUUAUAAAAAGGUAAAGGUAAAGGACCCCUGACAGUUAAGUCCAGUCACAUAUGACUCUGGGGUUGCGGCGCUCAUCUCGCUUUACAGUCCAAGGGAGCCGGUGUUUGUCCGCAGACAGUUUUUCCGGGUCAUGUGGCCAGCAUGACUUAGCUGCUUCUGGCACAAUGGAACACCGAAACCAGAGCAGCACAUGGAAACGCCAUUUACCUUCCUGUCAGAGUGGUACCUAUUUAUCUACUUGCACUUUUUGGCGUGCUUUUGAACGGCUAGGUUGGCAAGAGCUGGGACCGAGCAACAGGAGCUCACCCCGUCGCAGGGAUUCGAACUGCCGACCUUCUGAUCGGCAAGCCCAAGUGGCUCAGUGGUUUAGACCACUUGAUUUUAUACGGUGCUGUAAAUUUAAUUCUGUGCUGUCAGUGUUUAAUUGUUCUUCUUAAUGGUUUCAUUAUGCUGCAUACAACUCUGGUUUCCCAAUUAGGUGAAAAAGUGGCAAUAAUUUAAAAAAUACAAAUAAAUAAAUUCCCGCCUACCUUCUUUGAUUCCGGGGUGCUAUAGCCUCGCCAGCACUGGAGCCUGAUCCUGACAGUCUCUUGAUUUUCCUGCCAUGAUCCUGUAGUGAAUGGAGAACAGAUACUCACAAUGCCUUAUGAAUAAAUGAAGUUUCUGGGUGAUUUGAAAGCAAUGAGCAGCCGCUAGACGAUUUUUUUUUUAUUUUUUAUCACUGCCUUCAGCUUUCUGCUCUCUGUUUGUUGCACUGGUGCAUUGUAUCUUGUUCCUAUUAAGACUGAACUAGUCAUCAAGCCAUACAUUGCAAGCAACCAUAAAAAAGAGCUCUGGAUUUUACUGCCCUUUCUGCAUUGGACAUAUGGGCUGCUUAUAGUAAUAUAUAUGUUCAAAUUCAGAUUGAUGGAUUACUCUUAUUGUUAUUGUGAGGAGCUAAUGCCUUUUCUUUUCUUUUCUAUAUAAUAAUCCUGAGAUGUUAAUUUUCAGGACUCACCCUGUUCUUGAGACUGUAUUAUGUUUUAACUGUAAAGGUAAAGGUAAAGGGACCCCUGACCAUUAGGUCCAGUCGUGGCUGACUCUGGGGUUGCGGCGCUCCUCUCGCUUUAUUGGCCGAGGGAGCCGGCGUACAGCUUCUGGGUCAUGUGGCCAGCAUCUGGCGAACCAGAGCAGCACAUGGAAACGCCGUUUACCUUUCCGCUGGAGCGGUACCUAUUUAUCAAUUUGCACUUUGACGUGCUUUCGAACUGCUAGGUUGGCAGGAGCAGGGACCGAGCAACGGGAGCUCACCCCAUCACGGGGAUUCGAACCGCUGACCUUCUGAACGGCAAACCAUAGGCUCUGUGGUUUAACCUACAGCGCCAUCCGCAUCCCAUAUGUUUUAACUGUAUUCAAUUCCAAAUUUUAAAUUGUUAUAAUUCUGAACUCUAAAUUGAUGCUCUUAGUUGAACAUCCAUUCUGAUCUGUUUGUGGGGAGGUUAUACAACAAUGAACAUGCACCCAGCAUUUGUACUUGAUUUGCUUUUAGGGUGUUAUAUUUCUUCCUGUUGAUCGCUGGUUCAUUCCACACUUUUCAGUGCAAUUCCUCACCACUUCCCUAACUGCUAGAAAACAAUUACAGUACUUUUAAAAGUUGAUUGUUGAACUGAAGUAGCAGAGCAUUUAAAUUCACUUUAAUUGCCAAACCUAAAUUUCCCAAAGUGUGCUUGAAAUUACUUCCUCCUGCAAAAGAGCGAGUGUGGAGGUGAUCUAAGCGAGAGAGACGGCUUCAUAUCUGUAGUCAGAACAAAAGUUAUCAGAAGUUCUUUAACAGUGCAAAGCACAGAAAGGCAAACUUUUUUUUUAUUAAAAAAAAUCAUACUCUUUUUUUUUUUUGUCUUGCCAGGAAAAAGGUGAUGAUCAUUAAGUCAGAUGAUCCCAUUUGCCACUGGUGAGGAAAAGGGAUUUAGUGAAGCAGGACACCUCAUCUUUCAUUGAAAACAGCAGAAGGUCAUCUCCAUAUUUAAGCAUUUAAGAAGACUCUCUAUAUUCAGUCCCUAUGUCUAUAUUAAUAAAGGUGAAAAGUAAAAGAUGA
rnacentral:lncRNA from 1 species